ensembl:lincRNA
AUGAUACCCCUUUCUUCUUUAUGUAACCGGACACACCUUUCCUGCCCCAUAGUCCCUGCAUUGGUCUCAUUUAUCCAUUUAUCUGACCAUAGUGUAUUUAAUUCGUGCUACUAUGUGCCAGGCACUGUGCUGGGGACUGGGGAAACAAAGAUAAGCAGUGAAUGGCCCUCUCAGUGUCCGAAGGGCCACCCUGGCGAUCCACAGCUAAUCUAUGACAACUGGAUCACUUUGUCCUUCACCACGGCAGUGCUGGGCAUUCCAUCCACAGCCUUAAACAUGCUGCUACACUCCUACACACAUGAUGAAAGCUGCCUGUCCACCCCAAGAGCACCUCUUCAUGACUUCCUAGAAAAAUAUUUCAUGACAACAGAACCCACUUUAAAUUCCAAAGAAAAAGAAACAGCAAUAUGAGGAAAAGCAGAAGCAAGUCUCAAAGAAACAAUUACUUAUUUCUAAGAGGACUGAUAAAGAAACAAAAUUGCAGAAACUAGCUCUAGGAACCUCAGGCUGGAUAACUGACACAGCACAAAGUGCACCCAUUUGAAAUGUAUAAUUCAGUAGCUUUAGUGCCUUCACAGAGUUAUGUAACCUAAAUGUCUAUUUUAUGUGUGUGUUUAUUUAAAUGCUCUCCUGGACUGUAAUCUAAUUCAAAUGCUCUGUUUAACUCUUUUACAUUUUUCAUAUUGUGGGUAUGGGUGUUCUGCCUGUGGGUAUGCUGUGUACUGUGUGCAGGCCUGGUGCCCCUGGGUGUCAGAGACAGUCCUGGAUCCUCUGGGACUGACACUACAGAUGGUUGUGAGGUGCUGUGUAGAUGCUGGGAAUCAGACCCAGGUCCUCUGUAGAAUAAUACAUGCCCUUAUCUCCAGCCCUCUGAUGAACUUUGUCCACAUGGCAAGUAUUAUGUCUUCCUCUUUCCCAAAUAGUUUUCUUUUUUCUCCCCCUUCUGUUCCUUUCUUGUCUUAUGUCUCUUUCAAUUUAUUUUCCCUGUUUUUAUUUUUUUUAAAUUACUCAAAGUAAUAUGAAAUACAUUUUUCCCUAUAGAAGAUUCCAAAACAAAAUUAUAUGGAAAAAGAUGUAACGUUUCCUUCCUGUGUCAUCCACUCCUCCUCACUAAAAACAACUGUGACCUGUGAAGAUCUAUGAGAGCUGAAAUUAUGUAGUCACACAAAAAUUUGUACAGUAUAACAAUUACUUGUGAUGGCCAAAACAGUAGAAGUUAUACAAAUUCGUAUUAACUGACCAACAGAUGAACAAACUGUGGUGCAUCUUCACAACCGAAUAGCACCUGACCAUAGAAUCACAAUAAAAGCUGUCCCAUGCUGCAGCAUGGAUGGAUCAAGUGAAAGAAGCCAGUUACAAAAGCACCCACACCACAGCCCUAUUUGUCCCUGUGUGUGUGACACUGGGUACAACCUUGCACAUCCUUGGUUAACGCUUUAUCACUGAGCCCAGAGAGCUAAGAGAUCUGUGCAAGAGGAAAGUAGCAGAUUAGGAUUUAAGCUGGAGAGAGGAAACGGUGUGGCCUUUACUCAGCUAAGGAGUUUCCUUUCCUGCACUUCACUCAAUUCUCAAAAGGAAUCCUAAAUCUGGAAGUGCAUUCAUGCUUUCUGUUUCAAAAUUUCAUGUCAGAAUUUUUUCUUUUACUCUUUACCAAUCAGGCAGCUCCACUCUGAAAGACAGCUGGACAUGACCCGUUCCGUGCUGUGACCACAUUGGUCUACCCCAGGCCUCCAAGAGAGAUACUGGAGCCCUCCCCAGCACCAGCCAGUUCCAUUUUGUUCACAAAAUGACUGCUGAGGAUAUUAAAUGCCUCAGCAAUUAUUUUUAUACUGUCCUUCUCUUUUUAGCAAAAAGCAGUUAUAAACAUGGGAGGAGGGAAUGAAAUACAAGCAUUCCUGGUGAAUUCCCAAAUACUGGGAAAUUAUAGAAAUGAAAACUUUCAACUGCUUAAAUUAGAAUUCUCAUAUAGCAAAACUGGGGACUGUGUGCUUAGAACCAUGAAAUAUUUUCUUCUGCAAAAUGUAUUUCCUUUCAAUACCAAUGACAGUUUAUGCUGGAGAAGAUGUGGAGAAAGAGGAACACUCCUCCACUGCUGGUGGGAGUGCCAACUUGUACAGCCACUGUGGCAAUCAGUAUGGCGACUCCUCAAAAAACAGGAAUGAGUCUACCACAUGAUCCAGCAAUUCCACUCCUAGGCAUAUACCCAAAAGAAGCAUAUUCAUACAACAAGGACAUAAUGUUCAACCAUGUUCAUAGCAGCAUUAUUUGUAAUGGCCAGAAACUGGAAGCAGCCUAGAUGCCCCUCAACCGAAGAAUGGAUAGAGAAAUUGUGGUACAUUUACACAAUGGAGUACUACUCAGCAGAAAAAAAAAUGGAAUCUUGAAAUUUGCAGGAAAAUGGAUGGAACUCGAAGAAACCUUUCUGAGCGAGGUAACCCAAUCACAAGAAGACAGCCAUGAUAUGAACUCACUCAUAUGUGGACCUGCUUUAUGAUACAUAGUAGUGACCAUGCUUUAUCAGAGCUGUUUUUAAUGAUGUUGCUCAGAAUGGUUUCCUUCCAGAUGAUGAUUGAGAAGCUAAUUUAAAAAAAAAAUGGCACCAAGUACCACAAGAGUAACAGAACUGUGCUGUUUUCUAGGAUUUUGUUUUUUUACUUUUUUGUUGUUGUUUGUUUGUUUUUUUUUGUUUUUUUUGUUUUUUUUUUGUGUUGGAUGUCUCUAGAAUUUUGUUCAAAUGACUGCAGAACCUGGAAAAGCUGUUGUUGCUAUUGAUGCAUAACAUAUUGCCAUUAUUGGUCUUUUUAUAUAAAUAUAAUAUAUAUAUAUAUACAUACAUAAAAAAGCUAAUUGAAACUCAAAAAAAU